rnacentral:rRNA from 1 species
UACGUAGGCCCCGAGCGUUAUCCGGAUUUAUUGGGCGUAAAGCGAGCGCAGGCGGUUAGAUAAGUCUGAAGUUAAAGGCUGUGGCUUAACCAUAGUACGCUUUGGAAACUGUUUAACUUGAGUGCAGAAGGGGAGAGUGGAAUUCCAUGUGUAGCGGUGAAACGCGUAGAUAUAUGGAGGAACACCGGUGGCGAAAGCGGCUCUCUGGUCUGUAACUGACGCUGAGGCUCGAAAGCGUGGGGAGCAAACAGGAUUAGAU